rnacentral:rRNA from 1 species
AAGCAGGGGAUCGUAAGACCUUGCGCUUUUGGAGUGGCCGAUGCCUGAUUAGCUAGUUGGUGGGGUAAUGGCCUACCAAGGCAACGAUCAGUAGUUGGUCUGAGAGGACGACCAGCCACACUGGGACUGAGACACGGCCCAGACUCCUACGGGAGGCAGCAGUGGGGAAUUUUGGACAAUGGGCGAAAGCCUGAUCCAGCAAUGCCGCGUGAGUGAAGAAGGCCUUCGGGUUGUAAAGCUCUUUCAGUCGGGAAGAAAAGGUUGUGACUAAUAAUCACAAUUCAUGACGGUACCGACAGAAGAAGCACCGGCUAACUACGUGCCAGCAGCCGCGGUAAUACGUAGGGUGCGAGCGUUAAUCGGAAUUACUGGGCGUAAAGGGUGCGCAGGCGGCUUUGUAAGUCAGAUGUGAAAUCCCCGGGCUUAACCUGGGAAUUGCGUUUGAAACUACAAGACUAGAGU